rnacentral:rRNA from 1 species
GUCUCGAAUCAAUCCAAUACUUGCCUUCCGGAAGGGUGCAGCGAAGUGCGAUAAUCGUUGUGAACUGCAGAACUCCGUGAACCAAUGGUCUCUUGAACGUGCAUUGCGUUCUUGGGGUAAUGGAAUGUUGCCCGCGUGUGC